UGCCGUGGCCCCUUUAAAAGGCAGAGCCUUGAAAGAGCGGAGUCCUAGGACGAACCAAUGACAAGCCCCAUUUGGCCUCUUCCCAGCCCGCCCCCUCCGGAGGUCAAAAGCCUUGGUCAGUAGCCCUGUGGCCUGUGCGGUGAACCCGGGGUCUCCAGGUCGGCCUUGGUUGUUCCGCUCGCCAGCUCGCUGCCCACAUGGCCCUGAGAGGCGUCUAUGGGUGGCUACUGAGCCGCGAGUCCAGCCUGCGAGUCCUUCGUUCAUGGAGCUCGGCGGCGACGCAGACCGAAAAAGGCGGGAAGACCCAGAGCCGAUCAGCCAAGUCCUCGCGGCCCGAGUUUGACUGGAGGGACCCACUAUUGCUGGAGGAGCAGCUGACAGCAGAUGAGGUCCUCAUCAGGGACACCUUCCGCACCUACUGCCAGGAGCGCCUCAUGCCCCGCAUCCUGCUGGCCAAUCGCAACGAAGUUUUUCACCGGGAGAUCAUCUCAGAGAUGGGGGAGCUGGGUGUGCUGGGCCCCACCAUCAAAGGGUAUGGCUGUGCUGGAGUCUCAUCUGUGGCCUAUGGGCUCCUGGCCCGAGAGCUGGAGCGAGUGGACAGCGGCUACAGGUCAGCGAUGAGUGUCCAGUCCUCUCUUGUCAUGCACCCCAUCUACGCGUACGGCAGCGAGGAGCAGCAACAGAAGUACCUGCCCCGGCUGGCCAAGGGGGAGCUUCUGGGCUGCUUUGGGCUCACAGAGCCUAACCAUGGGAGUGACCCCGGCAGCAUGGAGACCAGAGCCCGCCAGAACCCGUCCAGCAGGAGCUACACCCUCAGUGGGGCCAAGACCUGGAUCACCAACUCACCUGUGGCCGACCUGUUUGUAGUGUGGGCUCGGUGCGAAGAUAGUUGCAUUCGGGGCUUCCUGUUGGAGAAGGGGAUGCGGGGCCUCUCGGCCCCCAAGAUUGAGGGAAAGUUUUCUCUGCGGGCCUCGGCCACGGGUAUGAUUAUCAUGGACGACGUGGAAGUGCCAGAGGAGAAUGUGCUGCCCAAGGCGUCUGGUCUGGCGGGUCCCUUCGGCUGCCUAAACAAUGCCCGCUAUGGCAUCACCUGGGGUGUGCUUGGAGCUGCUGAGUUCUGUUUGCACACGGCCCGGCAGUACACCCUGGACAGGAUCCAGUUUGGUGUCCCACUGGCCAAGAACCAACUGAUUCAGAAGAAGCUGGCGGAUAUGCUCACCGAGAUCACGCUGGGCCUUCAUGCCUGCCUGCAGCUCGGCCGCUUGAAGGAUCAAGACAAGGCCACCCCGGAAAUGAUCUCCCUGCUGAAGAGGAAUAACUGUGGGAAGGCCCUGGACAUUGCCCGCCAGGCCCGAGACAUGCUGGGAGGGAAUGGGAUUUCUGAUGAGUAUCACGUGAUCCGGCAUGCCAUGAACCUGGAGGCCGUGAACACUUAUGAAGGUGGGGGCUGGAUCCCUGGGGUGGGGUUCACAGUGGCCUCACGUCUGGGGAAGAGGACAGCAGACCCAAGUCCUACUCCCAGCUGUCACCAGUCAGCAGCAUGACCUGGGGCAAGUCCCACCCUGUGUCCCUCAUCUGGAGUGGCCCAUACUGGGACCGUGGAAGUAAACCCUCCCAGUCCUUUCCUCCAUUAUGCUCCAGGGGAGGGAUGUUCCCAAGCCUGCUUAUGGCUUCCACAGGCAUUCCCAGAGCGGGGCAUUAAUGCCCAGGGAGCUGGUGGAUGCAAGGGAGUGAGAGUGCAGCUACACACAGGAAUCACCACUCCAUUUUAUGUGAGAAAAAAAGAGAAAAGGUAAAUCAUUUGCAGGCUGUGGUGUUUGCACCUGACAACUAGUUGUGACUCACAUGGGGCCCAGAACCCCUUGCCUCAUGGGAAGACAGACAUAGAAAAAGAUAGUUAAAAAGAAAAGAGAUGUGGGGAAUUCCCUGGCGGUCCAGUGGUUAGGACUUGGCCUUUUCACUGCGGUGGCCUGGGUUCAAUCCCUGGUUGGGGAACUAAAACCCCACAAGCCGUGGUGCGGCCAAAAAAAAAAAAAGAAAAGAGGUGUACAAUUCCAGUGUGAGUCACACAGAACUAGAGGGAGCUGUAACAGGCACUCAAUCUCUUAGGGAGAAAGUGGGACCAUGUUAAGCCUUGAGGGAGGUGUAGGAGCUCCCUGGGCAGAGAUGGCGAAAUAGUAUCCAUGUGGUAUUCUGGAUGGGACAUUCCAGAAACAGCAAGAAGGAGGGCUGGGGGUGGGGGGUUUCUACAGGCAUGACAGUGACCCGGAGGACAAGCAGAGGGCACCUUCAGAUAGUUUUACGCAGGGGAGGGACAGGGUCAGAUUUGCACUUUAGGAAGAAAAUAGAAUUAUUUUGCUCCAUAAAAGGGAGGCCAUAAUCUCUGCCUUCCACCUCUGGAAGCUGAGGAAGAGCAAAUGAGAACACUGCGGGCUGUAAAGUAUUACUUAGACAUGUGGAUGUGGGAUGGGAUGUGGAAUGUGGGGCGUGGGGCGGUGGCUCUAGGAUGGGGGAUCAUCUGGGACAGGCAACUAACUGUCUGAUGUUUGCUUUCCCAUUCCUCCUGUGAGUGAGAAAGGGCCUGAUCCAUUUCUGCAGAGCUCAUCAGCUCUUUCCACCUCUGUGGGAAGAAAGCAUGGCUGGGUUGAAAAUCAAAUGUUUAAUCAACCAUGUGUGGUUGGGGUCGGGUGAAUCGGGGAGCACCAAAGAUUGGCCCAUGGUGGGGGCUGGACUCGCUGCAGUUUUGGGCCUGGCACAAGGAGCUUUGGGUUGGUUGGUCAGUCGGUUUUUGCCAAGAUGCAUUACAGAACUCUGAAAAACAAUUUUCUCGGCAUGGCCAGAAUGGUGGCCUCUGAGCCUUCCCUUGGUGGCUGUCACUAAGGGGGCUCUCCUGGCAGCUGUCAGCAUUCGCUGUCUUUGUGGGUCUGUUCUUCUUCCAAAGUAGUAGCCUGUGGGGAGACAUGAAGAUUGACUUUAAAGGGAAGUUGUAAGCUGUUAAGACUCCAAACCAACUCUGCAUUUGUCUUGCCCAGGCACUCAUGACAUCCAUGCUCUGAUCCUCGGAAGGGCAAUCACAGGGAUCCAGGCGUUCACAGCCAGCAAGUGAACCCACUUCACCUGCGAGCCCGGAUGGUACCAAACCCCUUCCCAGGGAGAUACUGCGCUCUGAGCUUAGUCAGGGAGGUGGCAGAUGGAGCCAUUUCUUCUGGUGGGAAGUGAGAGACGCUGAUUUUUAAAUAUCAAAAUUUCCCUUUUGAAGUCAUUCAAAUGUGUUCCUUAAAAAGAAGAUGGGACUGUCUGUACUGAGUUUCUCAAUCCAGUUUUAACUGUGGAUGGGAACAGACUCCACUCACCUUGGAACAGAAGCUCCCUUUGACAGGGGAGCAGGGAGAGGGAAGGAGAGUGACAUGGAAGCAACUUGUGAGGCCCACCUGGUGUCUGACUACGCAAACUACCCCCUCCACACAGCAAGAGGUUACUCUGCGCCCUCUGACCCUCCCAUCUUAGGCUGCUACAACUCUCGUUCCUCUGGCGGCACCCAUGUGCAUGCGUGAGUUCAGUCCUACCUCAGGCUGGCCGCACAGGUCUUUGUACAUGGUCUCCACGCUGUGGCACACUUCUUUGAGCUCUGUUUCCAGGUGACUGAUUUUUGCCAUUUUUUGGGUGAACUCUUGGAGCUUUUCCUGAAUGAUCUUGUUGUGGUGAUUAUAAAUCUGAUACAUCCUCUCCUCUAGCUUCUCUGUCAGGUCUGAAACCUUUGAAAGAAUAAGAUGUUCUUGGAAAGUCAAACAAGAGGCAUCACAAGACAUUUGUUCUAGCUGGCUCUUUAAGAUUUCUGCAAUUUAUCUUAUAAAAGUGGUAAAAACAA